rnacentral:rRNA from 1 species
AACGAACGCUGGCGGCAGGCCUAACACAUGCAAGUCGAACGCCCUAGCAAUAGGGAGUGGCAGACGGGUGAGUAACGCGUGGGAACGUACCCUUCGGUUCGGAAUAAGCCGGGGAAACCUGGUCUAAUACCGGAUACGUGCGAGAGCAGAAAGAUUUAUCGCCGAAGGAUCGGCCCGCGUCCGAUUAGCUAGUUGGUGAGGUAAUGGCUCACCAAGGCGACGAUCGGUAGCUGGUCUGAGAGGAUGAUCAGCCACACUGGGACUGAGACACGGCCCAGACUCCUACGGGAGGCAGCAGUGGGGAAUAUUGGACAAUGGGCGAAAGCCUGAUCCAGCCAUGCCGCGUGAGUGAUGAAGGCCCUAGGGUUGUAAAGCUCUUUCGCCAGGGACGAUAAUGACGGUACCUGGAUAAGAAGCCCCGGCUAACUUCGUGCCAGCCGCCGCGGUAACAC